rnacentral:rRNA from 1 species
UACGUAGGGGGCGAGCGUUGUCCGGAAUCAUUGGGCGUAAAGCGCGUGUAGGCGGCCCGGUAAGUCCGCUGUGAAAGUCCAGGGCUCAACCCUGGGAUGCCGGUGGAUACUGUCGGGCUCGAGUCCGGAAGAGGCGAGUGGAAUUCCUGGUGUAGCGGUGAAAUGCGCAGAUAUUACCAGGAACACCAAUGGCGAAGGCAGCUUGCUGGGCCACUCCUGACACUGAGGUACGAAAGCGUGGGGAGCGAACAGG